UCGAACGUUAACCAUCCUAGAUUCUUCUCCAUCAGAACCCUGUUCUCUGCUAAUACAAGCAGAGAAUCAACUGGCUGGCGUAUUACCUGUUUUAGGUGACACAUUUGCACUUUAAUAGCAGCCUUCUGGAGACACAGUGCCACAAACCAAGUCAGAGACUAAAGUUCCUGAGAAUGGAUUUUCCCAGUCCUGGAGGUGACCUUGUGGGUAACUGGGGGUUGGAGAAAUCCCAAGUUAUAGAGUUCCUUGAUUUGAGCAUUUGGGCACUAAACCUUCAAGAAGGAAAAUAUUUCCUCAACAGUACUCCUUGAGGAAGUAAGAUCACCGAUGUGACCUCUGCAGCUGGAAGACUAGAGCCACAUCAUGGGGAGCCAGGAUAUAUGGACCUUACCAACCUUCCAUUAAAUUGCUAUUGGUGAUCUCAUCUAUGUGGGAACUCCUUCCAGCAAUGAAGAUCACAACCCAUCCAUGAUUGAUUAUCCAGAGGAGCAUCCCUUGUGGAGAGGGGCCCUCUGUCCCUGCUACUACCAAUAUCAAAUGCUGACCUACUGCCACCACUGAGCAGAUAAGCCCAAGAAGACUGAGACAGCAGUUCCCUUCCCUAAACUCCCACCCCCAAACCCUGAUUUCAGCCUGGCCCCUGAAGCUAUCUUCCAAGGGACCAACCUUUAAAGUGAAGGGGUACAAUCAAUAGCUACCAAUGAUCAGCUAAACUCAGGAUCCUUGGGAAUAGUGGCACCCCAACUCAGAUCAUUGGACUAAUUCCAGGCCAGACACCACCCUGUAGCCAUCAUCCAAAGAACCACUGUGGCUAUGAGACCUGGUAACUGUCUCUGCAGUGGCUGCAACCACUCCUACUGAAGCCCUGGCAAGCAGAAACUUCUCAACACCAAAAUCCUUGGCACUGCUAAAUUUUAAA